rnacentral:rRNA from 1 species
AUGACCAUGAGUAUGGCAACGGGUGCCAUGGGCUCCCUGCUGCCCAAGCUGGUCGAGCUCCUCAAGGAGGAGUACAAGCUCAAGGAGAGCGUCAAGGAAGGCGUCCGAUCUCUUGAGGAAGAGAUGAAGAGCAUGCAAGCUGCGCUCCGCAAGGUGGGCGAGGUGCCACGGGACCAGCUCGAUGAGCAGGUCAAGAUCUGGGCAGCAGAGGUGAGGGAGCUCUCCUUCAAGAUGGAGGACAUCGUCGACAAGUUCUUGGUGCGUGUCGAUGACGGCUCUGAGCCUGCCGCCAAUCCGAAGAAGCUCAAACGGCUCACCAAGAUGAUGGCCGGUUUGUUCACCAAGGGGAAGACCCGCCAUGAGAUCGCUGAUGCAAUCAAGAGCAUCAAGAAGCAAGUACAAGAUGUUGCUGACAGGCGUGCAAGGUACAAUGUCGACAACUUUGUCGCUAGGCCGGCAGCGGUGACGCCCAUUGAUCCUCGCCUUGCGGCUCUGUACACGAAAGUGACAGAGCUUGUUGGCAUUGCUGGGAAAAGAGAUCAAGAGCUAAUGAGGUUGCUCUUUGAGGAAGACAACUUGCCCAAAAAAGAGUUGAAGAUUGUCUCUGUAGUCGGAUUUGGAGGAUUGGGCAAGACCACUCUUGUCAAAAUGGUUUAUGACAAGAUCAAGGGAGAUUUUGAUUGCGGGGCUUUUGUUCCAGUUGGUCGAAAUGCUGACGUGAAGAAGAUUCUCCUUCUUGAUCUUGACUUGGACGAAAGCCAACUCACCAGGUUGGAUGAAAGACAACUCAUCAACAAACUUCAAAAAGGUCUAGAGAAGAAGAGAGAAUCAUCCAUUGGCACGAGACGAUUUCCUCCCCUCGGUGUUUUAUUCAAGACGGUGUAA